CAGGUGCCAACGCUCCGAUCGUUCCGGGCGCGCUGGCCGGCUUGAAGGCUCUGCACACCAAGGUGGGCAGGCUUCCCUGGAAGGACGUGUUCCAGCCGGCCAUCCGCUUGGCCAAGGAGGGCUUCACCGUCGGAUCGCACCUUGCCGCCGCCCUGGCGAACAACGAGAAUGUACUGAGCGUGUCGGCUUCCCUCAGGAAGCGAUUCUCGAACAACGCCACCGGCGCUCUGUUGCGCCGCGGGGACAAGCUCGUCCAGGCGCAUCUUGCCGAGCUGCUGACGAAGCUGGCCGAACACGGCCCGGAGCACCUUUACCAAAACGAGCUCGCCGACGAGAUCGAGAAGAACGUUGCGGACUCCGGUGGGUCCCUCAAGAAAAGCGACCUGUCCGGAUACCAACCCGUCUGGCAGGAUCCACUGUCUUCCAAGAUCGGGGGCAGGCAGUACAUACACUCGGCUCCCAUUCCGGGCGCCGGCGUUGUGCUAGCCGUGGCCGUCCACAAGAUACACGUGGAGUGAGUUUCGUCAUUCU